CUGAGGCUGAAAUUUCCCUUCAGGGAGCCAAGGGAUUUUUUUUUUUUUCUUCACUUACAAGAAAGAAGGGGCAGAAGCCAGCAAAGCAAGCCAGUGCAGCUGGCAAUGGAGGAAUUAGUCUGCUGGAAAAUACACUUUCUUCCCCACUUCAGUUUUAUAAAACUGACCAAGAGGCCAAGCCAGGAUAUGACAAAUUUUCCUUCCUAAAAGAUUGGCAAGGUCUCGUUGGAGCUAAGCCAGGUAUGCAGUACAUCCAGAGGAAUUGCCUUUGGCCUCUUUUAUCUCAGAGGCCACCGAGCAUGGUGAAAUACCUCAGCUCUCAUACCAUCCUGAUGGUUCCUACUCCUGGGUUUUGAUGACUUUAUCUUUAA